rnacentral:rRNA from 1 species
AUGAACGCUGGCGGCGUGCUUCACCCCUGCCAGUCGCACGAUGAAGCCCAGCUUGCUGGGUGGAUUAGUGGCGAACGGGUGAGUAACACGUGAGUAACCUGCCCUUAACUCUGGGAUAAGCCUGGGAAACUGGGUCUAAUACCGGAUAGGAGCGCCUACCGCAUGGUGGGUGUUGGAAAGAUUUAUCGGUUUUGGAUGGACUCGCGGCCUAUCAGCUUGUUGGUGAGGUAAUGGCUCACCAAGGCGACGACGGGUAGCCGGCCUGAGAGGGUGACCGGCCAAACUGGGACUGAGACACGGCCCAGACUCCUACGGGAGGCAGCAGUGGGGAAUAUUGCACAAUGGGCGCAAGCCUGAUGCAGCGACGCCGCGUGAGGGAUGACGGCCUUCGGGUUGUAAACCUCUUUCAGUAGGGAAGAAGCGAAAGUGACGGUACCUGCAGAAGAAGCACCGGCUAACUACGUG